CCGCCCAUCCACACUCCCCCACUGUUUGUUGGCCCAAACCGACCUCCUGCCGUGCCGUGCAGGGCAGCAAGGGACGUGGACAGGUGGGCUGUCCAAGCCAGGGGGCAGGGACUUCACAGGCACCCUCCUUGGGACCAGAAAACCCAGUACCCCUUUUCUCUCACCCAGGGCACGGAGCCUGAGCAGGGAAUAUGCCACCCCAUCUUGUCCUAACUGCCACGGCCUGCAGGCUCCUCUGCUGGGUAGUCCUUUGCCUCCUGGGAACAGGCUCUGCAGAUACUGGAAUUACCCAGAGACCGAAGUACCUGGUCAUAGGCAUGGGGAACAAGAAGUCUUUGAUGUGCGAACAGAGUCUGAACCACAACAGCAUGUACUGGUAUAAACAGGUCUCUGACAAGCCCCCAGAGCUCAUGUUUCGAUACGACUACCAGAAGCUGGCCACCAAUGAGACUGUCCCAAGUCGCUUCUCCCCCAAAUGCCCAGAUAGCUCUCACCUGUACCUUCACGUGGAUGCCCUGGAGCUCGGCGACUCGGCCGUGUAUCUGUGCGCCAGCAGCAAAGACACAGCCCUGCAGAGCCGCCACCACCCUGAGCACAAACCUCUGCCCAACAGGAAGCUGGGGGUGCUUGCUUCCCAGGCCCCAGGCUUGGUUCCUGAAGGACCCAGCAGACCUUAUAGACCCUGA